rnacentral:rRNA from 1 species
CGUACACUCCUGCGGGAGGCAGCAGUGGGGAAUUUUGGACAAUGGGCGAAAGCCUGAUCCAGCCAUGCCGCGUGCAGGAUGAAGGCCUUCGGGUUGUAAACUGCUUUUGUACGGAACGAAACGGCCUUUUCUAAUAAAGAGGGCUAAUGACGGUACCGUAAGAAUAAGCACCGGCUAACUACGUGCCAGCAGCCGCGGUAAUACGUAGGGUGCAAGCGUUAAUCGGAAUUACUGGGCGUAAAGCGUGCGCAGGCGGUUAUGUAAGACAGUUGUGAAAUCCCCGGGCUCAACCUGGGAACUGCAUCUGUGACUGCAUAGCUAGAGUACGGUAGAGGGGGAUGGAAUUCCGCGUGUAGCAGUGAAAUGCGUAGAUAUGCGGAGGAACACCGAUGGCGAAGGCAAUCCCCUGGACCUGUACUGACGCUCAUGCACGAAAGCGUGGGGAGCAAACAGGAUUAGAUACCCUGGUAGUCCCAUG